rnacentral:rRNA from 1 species
UACGUAGGGCGCAAGCGUUGUCCGGAAUUAUUGGGCGUAAAGAGCUCGUAGGCGGUUUGUCGCGUCUGCUGUGAAAACCUAAGGCUCAACCUUGGGCUUGCAGUGGGUACGGGCAGACUAGAGUGCGGUAGGGUGACUGGAAUUCCUGGUGUAGCGGUGGAAUGCGCAGAUAUCAGGAGGAACACCGGUGGCGAAGGCGGGUCUCUGGGCAAGUAACUGACGCUGGAGGAGCGA